GACGAACGCUGGCGGCGUGCUUAACACAUGCAAGUCGAACGGAAAGGCCCUGCUUUUGUGGGGUGCUCGAGUGGCGAACGGGUGAGUAACACGUGAGUAACCUGCCCUUGACUUUGGGAUAACUUCAGGAAACUGGGGCUAAUACCGGAUAGGAGCUCCUGCUGCAUGGUGGGGGUUGGAAAGUUUCGGCGGUUGGGGAUGGACUCGCGGCUUAUCAGCUUGUUGGUGGGGUAGUGGCUUACCAAGGCUUUGACGGGUAGCCGGCCUGGGAGGGUGACCGGCCACAUUGGGACUGGGAUAAGGCCCAGACUCGUAUGGGAGGCAGCAGUGGGGAAUAUUGCACAAGGGGCGGAAGGCUGAUGCAGCCACGCCGCGUGCGGGAUGACGGGCUUCGGGUUGUAAACCGCUUUCGCCUGUGACGAAGCGUGAGUGACGGUAAUGGGUAAAGAAGCACCGGCUAACUCCGUG
rnacentral:rRNA from 1 species